rnacentral:rRNA from 1 species
CCUACGGGAGGCAGCAGUGGGGAAUAUUGGGCAAUGGGCGCAAGCCUGACCCAGCAACGCCGCGUGAAGGAAGAAGGCGUUCGGGUUGUAAACUUCUUUUCUCAGGGACGAAGCAAGUGACGGUACCUGAGGAAUAAGCCACGGCUAACUACGGGCCAGCAGCCGCGGGAAUACGUAGGUGGCAAGCGUUAUCCGGAUUUACUGGGUGUAAAGGGCGUGUAGGCGGGAAAGCAAGUCAGAUGUGAAAACCAUGGGCUCAACCUGUGGCCUGCAUUUGAAACUGUUUUUCUUGAGUACUGGAGAGGCAGACGGAAUUCCUAGUGUAGCGGUGAAAUGCGUAGAUAUUAGGAGGAACACCAGUGGCGAAGGCGGUCUGCUGGACAGCAACUGACGCUGAGGCGCGAAAGCGUGGGGAGCAAACAGGAUUAGAUACCCCGGUAGUC